GGACGAACGCUGGCGGCGUGCUUACCCCAUGCAAGUCGAACGGAAAGGCCCUGCUUUUGUGGGGUGCUCGAGUGGCGAACGGGUGAGUAACCCGUGAGUAACCUGCCCUUGACUUUGGGAUAACUUCAGGAAACUGGGGCUAAUACCGGAUAGGAGCUCCUGCUGCAUGGUGGGGGUUGGAAAGUUUCGGCGGUUGGGGAUGGACUCGCGGCUUAUCAGCUUGUUGGUGGGGCAGUGGCUUACCAAGGCUUUGACGGGUAGCCGGCCUGAGAGGGUGACCGGCCACAUUGGGACUGAGAUACGGCCCAGACUCCUACGGGAGGCAGCAGUGGGGAAUAUUGCACAAUGGGCGGAAGCCUGAUGCAGCAACGCCGCGUGCGGGAUGACGGCCUUCGGGUUGUAAACCGCUUUCGCCUGUGACGAAGCGUGAGUGACGGUAAUGGGUAAAGAAGCACCGGCUAACUACGUG
rnacentral:rRNA from 1 species